rnacentral:SRP_RNA from 1 species
UGCAGCUGUUACUGUUUAGGGAUAGCAAUGGAUAACAUUGCGAUAGCUUUGGGACGCUACAAUGUUGAAGGAAUUUGAGAGCCUGCGACUCCCGUCUAUCACAAGACAUCAGUUACAGAUCAUGGCUUGUUGAAAAGGAGACAUGUUCAAGUAAUAAUGAAUCCAUGUACCGCCUCAGGCUGGAAACAGAGCAGGGUUAGUGGUCGCUGAUGUACGGUGUGAAGAUUGCGGUCGAGCCACACAGGUAUCUUAAAAUCUGACAUUACAUAGU